rnacentral:lncRNA from 1 species
GUACAACUGGUCUUGCUCUUUUUUCAGUCUGUAUUAACUCCAUGGAAAGAACAUGGACAAUCCAUUUAAGCACAUCCUGCAUGAGCUGGAUGAGCCAACCCACAGUGGCAAAAGUGGAAUUUAGCUGAGAUCAGCAGAGCUACCCAGACUAGCUAAGCUAGAUCAGCCAACUGCAGGUUUAUCAAAGACAAAAAACUAUAAUAAAGAGCCUCCCUGCUGCCAAGCUCACCUUCAAGGAAAUAUCAUGGAUUAUUACUGCCUUGGUUAAAGUCAAUUACAGGAGCAGCAGUGUUAUAUGCAAGAAAGUGCCAAGCUCUAAUAAAGGCAGUUUCUAGCAGAGAAUCCAUGAAGAAAAUGUAUUCUCAUCAGAAAAAACCCUCUCGCCAUUCAAGAGGGGAUUUCCUGUUGUGGAAAUAGAAUGGGCUUAGAGAAUAACUGCCAGAAACUAACAAUUUGUGAAGAAGAGCAACCAACUACAAAAC